GAGGGCGGAGCGUGCGCAGAGGACAGAGGCGUAGCAGAGGGCGGGAGCUCCGAGGCGGGAAAAGACGAAAUGGAGCGCCAGGGCGUACGUGAGGUGGAGGUGCCUCCCGUGGACCUAAAUGACCAGGAGCCCCAGGCGGUUGUGGAGAGCGGGGAGCAUCAGCAGAACGAGAACCACGAGGAAGAGGCUGGCGCCGCGGCAGCCAGUGCCAACUACCAGCUGACAGGACCCUUCUCCUCCCUGGAGUCUAGCAUUGCAAUCCUGAAGAAGAAAGCCCAGGAGCUGAUUGAAAACAUCAAUGAGAGCAGGCAGAAGGACCAUGCACUCAUGACCAACUUCAGGGACAACCUCAAGAAGAAGGGUAUAACAGUCCUGACUGACCUCGAACUCACUGAGAUUUGCCUGCCUCUGACUUGGAUUAAAAGUGUACACCACUGGGGCUGGAGAGAUGGCUCAGAGGUUAAGAGCACUGUUCUUCCAGAGGUCCUGAGUUCAAUUCCCAGCAACCACAUGGUGGCUCACAACCAUCUGCGAUGAGAUCUGGCGCCCUCUUCUGGCCUGCAAGUAUACAAAGUGUACACCACUGCCGCCCGGCCACAUAAGCAAUUUCUAAAGUGGGAAAACCAGGUCUCGGAUCUGACAGAGAAAUUGGAGGAGAGGAUGUACCAGGUGUACACCAACCACAGCAAGAUCAUUCAGGAAAGACUCCAAGAAUUCACUCAGAAGAUGACAAAGAUCAGCCUUCUAGAAAUGGAGCUCAA